UCCCACAGCUCGGCCAAUUGUGUUGGUC
rnacentral:piRNA from 1 species